GGGCCCGUGGUCUAGUCUGGAAUAGGACGUGGGACUUCGGAUCCCAAGGUCCCGGGUUCAAAUCCCGGCGGGUCCGC
rnacentral:tRNA from 1 species